GAUGAAGAACGCAGCGAAAUGCGAUAAGUAAUGUGAAUUGCAGAAUUCAGUGAAUCAUCGAAUCUUUGAACGCACAUUGCGCCCGCCAGUAUUCUGGCGGGCAUGCCUGUUCGAGCGUCAUUUCAACCAUCAAGCCCCAGGCUUGUGUUGGGGACCUGCGGCUGCCGCAGGUCCUGAAAACCAGUGGCGGGCUCGCUGUCACACCGGGCGUAGUAGAUUUUAUCUCGCUCAGGGCGUGCUGCGGGUUCCGGCCGUUAAAAAGCCUUUUUUACCCAAGGUUGACCUCGGAUCAGGUAGGAAGACCCGCUGAACUUAAGCAUAUCAAUAAGCGGAGGA
rnacentral:misc_RNA from 1 species